CACUUAAAUGUCAGAUAGGCAAGCAGCAGGCAGAAGCCAUAGCAACUAGCACACACCUACACACACAUCUGGACCUGUACACCUACGGCCCUGGAAAAUUAUCCAUAGACCCGCUGACUAACCCCGCCUCGUUUUUCCGAUUCCCCCAUUUCGACCAGGUCAUAGACGAGGUGCCACCCACCCCCAAAUCUCCCCGCCACAGAAACGUCGGACGACAUCCGCGUCGCCAUCACAUCAUCCAGCCAUGACCAGCGGCGGCAAUCGAUGAUUGCCAUUCCCUCAGCCAACGAGAGCCAAUAGAGGCAGCCGGAAAGGAGGACGCCGGAACAGUCCGGUAACGUCGGAAUAGCCCGACAUUCGCAAAACGUCAAUAACCGCAGGGGAAUCCCCCAUUUCAACGCCAAGGACUCAAGUCACGCGGCAUCAACAUGCUGAUCAAGGAGUACCGCAUUCCGCUGCCCCUCACCGUCGAGGAGUACCGCAUCGCCCAGCUCUACAUGAUUGCGAAAAAGAGUCGCGAGGAGAGUCACGGCGAGGGCAGUGGCGUUGAGAUUAUCAUCAAUGAGCCGUACAAGGAUGGACCCGGCGGAAAUGGUCAAUACACAAAGAAGAUCUACCACGUGGGCAAUCAUCUGCCUGGCUGGAUCAAAAGUCUCUUGCCGAAAAGCGCUUUAACCGUGGAGGAGGAGGCAUGGAAUGCCUAUCCGUAUACCAGGACUCGCUACACCUGUCCGUUUGUGGAGAAGUUCUCGCUGGACAUUGAGACAUACUAUUAUCCGGACAAUGGCUAUCAGGACAACGUCUUCCAGCUGUCCGGAAGCGAUCUGCGUAAUCGCAUAGUAGACGUGAUUGACAUUGUGAAGGACCAGCUGUGGGGUGGCGACUAUGUGAAGGAGGAGGAUCCCAAGCACUUUGUGUCGGACAAGACGGGCCGUGGACCCUUGGGCGAGGAUUGGCUGGACGAGUAUUGGCGAGAAGUGAAGGGCAAAAAGCAGCCGACACCGCGCAACAUGUCCCUGAUGACCGCCUACAAGAUCUGCCGCGUUGAGUUCCGCUACUGGGGCAUGCAGACGAAGCUGGAGAAGUUCAUCCACGACGUGGCGCUGCGCAAGAUGAUGCUGCGUGCCCAUCGACAGGCGUGGGCAUGGCAGGACGAGUGGUUCGGCUUGACCAUCGAGGAUAUCCGCGAACUGGAGCGACAAACGCAACUGGCCCUGGCCAAGAAGAUGGGCGGCGGCGAGGAGUGCAGCGAUGACAGCAUCUCGGAGCCGUAUAUCAGCACGGCGGCCACUGCCGCCUCCACAACGGGCAGCGAGCGAAAGAAGUCCGCUCCGGCCGUGCCGCCGAUUGUCACCCAGCAGCCGCCGAGCGCCGAGGCCAGUUCGGAUGAGGAGGGCGAGGAGGAGGAUGACGACGAGGACGAGAACGAUGCCAUUGGUACGGGCGUGGAUCUGUCCGCCAACCAAAGCGGAUCCGCGCAACGUUCGCGCUCCCAAAGUAUUCAGAUGGCCCAGAAGGGCAAGUUCGGGUCGAAGGGUGCCCUUCACUCUCCGGUGGGAUCUGCCCACAGCUUCGAUCUCCAGUCCAAAAAGCCGCAUGCAAAGACAGCGCCACGCAGACAUGUGGCAAACUGGCGUAUGGAGCGGUUGGAAGUGGACUCCAAAUCCAACUCGGAUGAGGAAUUCUUUGAUUGUCUGGACACCAAUGAGACGAACUCGCUGGCCAAGUGGAGCUCGCUGGAGCUGCUGGGCGAGGGCGACGACAGUCCGCCGCCACAUGGCGGACCCUCCAGCGCAGCAUCCGUGGGUGGGCGUGGCAACUCGCGGCAAGAGGACAGCAUAUUCAAUCAGGACUUUCUGAUGCGCGUGGCCUCAGAGCGCGGCAACAAGCGGCAGUUACGCUCCUCCGCCAGCGUGGAUCGCAGUCACGACUCCUCGCCGCCGGGAUCACCGAGCACACCGUCAUGCCCCACAACCAUUCUGAUCCUGGUUGUCCAUGCGGGCAGCGUUUUGGAUGCGGCCAGCGAGCUGACCGCCAAGAAAUCCGAUGUGACCACAUUCCGUGGCUCCUUCGAGGCGGUGAUGCGACAGCACUAUCCCAGCCUCCUCACUCAUGUGACCAUCAAGAUGGUGCCGUGCCCCUCAAUUUGCACCGACGCCUUGGGCAUUCUCUCCAGCCUGAGUCCGUACUCCUUUGAUGCAUCGCCCUCGGCGGCGGAUAUACCGAAUAUAGCCGAUGUUCCUAUUGGAGCCAUACCCCUACUAUCCGUGGCAUCGCCCGAAUUCCACGAGACGGUCAACAAGACGGUCGCCGCUGCCAAUAUUGUCUACCACGAGUUCUUGAAAUCGGAGGAGGGACACGGAUUCUCCGGCCAGAUUGUCAUGCUGGGCGAUUCGAUGGGCUCACUGCUGGCGUACGAGGCUCUCUGCCGAUCAAAUGGCAGCCAGCCGGGUACGGCUUCGGGCGCCUCAAAUUCUGGUGGAGAUGCAGCCACCAAUAUAAAUACCCACAAUCCGUUGAGCGCUCGAAAUUCGAGGUUGGACGAUGACGAGCGUUUCAUCGAAGCCGAUCUGGAUGCCAAGCGUUUGCUGGUGGCUCCAUCGCCACGUAGACGCCGCUCCAGCUCCUCCAGCGAUUCGCGGGCCACCAAAUUGGACUUUGAGGUCUGUGAUUUCUUCAUGUUCGGAUCGCCGCUGUCUGUGGUACUUGCUGCAAGGAAACUUCACGAUGCCAAGGCCGCCCUGCCGCGGCCCAACUGCCACCAGGUCUACAAUCUGUUCCAUCCAACCGAUCCGAUCGCCUCGCGCCUGGAGCCGCUUCUCAGCGCCCGGUUUUCGAUAUUGGCGCCAGUUAAUGUCCCACGGUACGCCAAGUAUCCGCUGGGAAAUGGUCAGCCAUUGCAUUUAUUGGAGGUCAUUCAGUCGCAUCCGCAGCACUUCAACGACGGCAACAAUCUGCUGGCUGGUCGCCGUUUGUCGGACGCAUCGAUGCAGAGCACGAUAUCGGGUCUGAUUGAGAAUGUCUCGCUUAGUACGAUCCAUGCCCUGCAAAACAAAUGGUGGGGCACAAAGCGCUUGGAUUACGCUUUGUAUUGCCCGGAGGGAUUGAGUAAUUUUCCGGCUCACGCCUUGCCGCACCUCUUCCACGCCAGUUACUGGGAGAGUCCGGAUGUGAUUGCCUUUAUUCUACGGCAGAUUGGCAAAUUCGAGGGCAUACCCUUUGUGGGCUCCAACGAUGACAAGGACAAUGCCUCCUUCCAUCCAGGACAGCCGAGGGAGAAGUGGAUCAAGAAACGCACCUCGGUGAAGCUGAAAAAUGUGGCAGCCAAUCAUCGGGCCAACGAUGUGAUCGUGCAGGAGGGCAGGGAGCAGCGUUUGAAUGCGAGAUUUAUGUACGGACCCCUAGACAUGAUCACCCUGCACGGUGAGAAGGUGGAUGUGCACAUUAUGAAGGAUCCGCCGGCGGGCGAGUGGACAUUCCUCAGCACUGAGGUGACGGACAAGAACGGUCGAAUCUCGUACAGCAUUCCGGAUCAGGUAUCCCUAGGCUAUGGCAUAUACCCCGUAAAGAUGGUGGUCCGUGGCGAUCACACCUCGGUGGAUUGCUAUAUGGCGGUGGUGCCGCCGUUGACCGAAUGCGUGGUCUUUAGCAUUGAUGGCUCCUUCACCGCUUCCAUGUCGGUGACGGGCAGGGAUCCCAAGGUACGUGCCGGAGCUGUCGAUGUUUGUCGCCACUGGCAGGAGCUGGGCUACCUGCUCAUCUACAUCACCGGACGACCGGAUAUGCAGCAGCAACGCGUUGUGUCCUGGCUGAGCCAGCACAACUUCCCGCAUGGCCUGAUCUCGUUCGCCGACGGCCUGUCCACCGAUCCAUUGGGCCACAAGACGGCCUAUCUCAACAAUCUGGUGCAGAACCAUGGAAUCUCAAUUACUGCCGCCUACGGCAGCAGCAAGGACAUUAGUGUCUACACGAAUGUUGGCAUGCGAACUGAUCAAAUAUUCAUCGUGGGCAAGGUUGGCAAGAAGCUGCAGUCCAAUGCCACCGUGCUUAGCGAUGGCUAUGCCGCCCACUUGGCCGGUUUGCAGGCUGUGGGUGGUUCGCGCCCGGCGAAGGGCAAUGCGCGCAUGGUCAUUCCACGCGGAUGCUUCAAUCUUCCCGGCCAGACCGCGAAUCCGCGGCGCAGAAGCAACGAGACGGGACUCUCAUCACCCAUACGCAGUGGUUACCUGAAGCGCAAGACCUACCUGAGCCACCACUAGAGCAGCAGGGAUGCAGAUGCAGCUAUCUAUCUAUAGAUCGAUCCAUCAGAUAGAAGUGAAACCAAUGUACUCACGACCCCACUAGAAAUCCCCUCGAAAUAGCGAACAAAAAUAUAUAGAGCCACAAUGGACAACAAGACCGAUGCCUCCAUAUGCCACAUCUGUGUAUAUACCAUAUAAAUAUAUAUUUAUAUACUAUGCGCGAUAUAUUGAAAGUUUAAUGGUGUAAUAUAUAGUACAUAUAUAUAUAUCAAAUACCAAAUUUGCAAAUGAGAAAAAAAAACAAUUGUACAACAUUUAACAAAAGUCAAAUGUGUCACGCGGUACCUGGAAAGAAAGACUGUUUCCUCCUGUUGUUUGAUGGUUUUCCAAACCACUUAAAAAGCAUAAAAAAACAUUGAAAACUACACGAAACAAGAGCCGAUCGCAAAGCUAUAUACUAAAUACAAAUAUAAAUGAUAUAUACAAGGAUAUCUUCGAAACAUAGAACCGUUUAACAUAUGCAAGCGAACCAAGUUCAACAAACCAAGCAAGUGAGGUACAACAACUGAAGGACAAACUACUACUGAAACCGAAGAUCUCCGGAUGAUUGAAGAUACAACUAAGGGAAGCGAGGGGAGCGGAUAGAGUUGCAAAAUCAAAAGGAAAAUUAAAUGCAUUUCUCGAGAAACAACCACUACAAAAGUAUAAAUUAACGGCUUCCGUAAACCAAACCAAAAAUCUAAAAAUAGAAUUAUCUAUGUGUAUGUGCGUGUAAAAUUGACAAAAAUUAAAAAACAAAAAAAAUCGGUUCUAAAGAAGAAACUUAAAUGUAAAAACUUCAUGAAAUUGAAUACAAUCUCUUAACUGGCCCCAGAAAUUUCAAAUCUCCAUAAUUGUGAUAGUCUUUCGCUACCAAAAGUUAUUUAAAAAGAUGAAAAAACAGCAAAAUAUAUAUAUUUAUCUCUACUAAAAAUUGUUAUUCGAAAAUGAAAGGCAUUUCGGAAAGAAAAAAACAGAAACUAUUGGAUAUUGUGUAAACUUAAAACCCGAUUUUGUGAUACCAAAACUAAAACCGAAACCAAAGUUCAGUUCGUAUUGAGAUGCGUUUAAGCCGACUACUCAAAAACCUAUACAAACAACUCAAGGCGACCUGACGAUGUAACGGGCAUUGAAUCUGACCCAUAUAGCAAUAUAUAUAUACAUAUAUAUAUAUAUAUACCACUAUGUACGCAAACUAUGUACGCAAACCCCCAAUUAUGGGCUGUCCACGCAAGUUAACUAAAAACUCUCACACAUCUUGUAAGCUAAAGAAAACUCGGAUGUAAACCAGAUAACCACAAUUGAAGGUACAUAUGGGACCGUAAGAAUAAGAGAAGAUAUAGGAAUCUGUAAUCUGUUCGAUCCGUUUGGGUUAACCUAAGCCAAAGUUAGUUGAGUUAGGCGAUUAAGAUACUUCCUAAACUGAAAAGUAAAUGCAAAUUAAAGAGUUUAAACCGAUAGUUGUAAUGAGAACAGAGUAAUUGUAUGUAAAGAUGACAGAAGAUAAAUAACUAAAUCAUAUACUGUAUAUUUAUAUAGCGCAACUACUUUAAGGUCUUUUGAAGCUUGCUAACUGAAAAAGUGUUCCGAUUAAAGUAUUGUCCGGCUAUACGUUCCUCUCUCCUCCACUUCAGUCGAUUUUUAGCUAUAUUUUAGGUUUUAUUUUUCCUUUGUAGCAUGUAUUAAACUGAAAACUGAUGGAAGAUCUUAUAGAUUUUAAGACGAAUCUCGACCUAUGAAAAGUUUAUUCUAUAUAAGUGAGUUGUUCAAGGUUCAAGAGCGAGGUAAAAAGAAGUUUAGAAGCAAGUCCUAUUAAAUAACACACCAGAUACUCAUAGAGUCAAAAUGUUAAUGUCUGUCUACUUAGCUGGUAAAUUAAGGGCAUUUUUGCAAUACGUUUUCUAUAAGUCUCGGCCGACUUCCUUUCCAACUAGAUCUAUUUGUAUGUGAAUACUUCGUUCAACUUCUCAGCAUAGAAUAUUUGAGCUUAUAUCUUAUGUGCUUCAAACGGUUCAUAUCACUUUGAUUUUGCGAAAGAUAAUCGUUAUUUGUGUUGAAAUUUGGAAUUAUCUUUCACUGUCGUGUAUAGUUUUACAUAAACCCCCCCACCUGAGGCAGAAAUAGAACUGGAAAACUCAAAUGGAUUUAGAUUUCACACAAUGGCAUUUUAGUGCUUGCUCUACGUGUUGCUAAUAUUGCAUACCGAUUGCUUGAUUUACUUUUGAUUUAUCGUUGCAAUUUUUAGAAACCUCCCUUUUUCUCCUCCAUCGAACUAAGAACUAACAAAGCCAAUAAAGCGUUGAGCGAAAUUGCAUUGAUAUUUUGAGAACCCACCAUUUAGAUGAUAAGCUGAAGCCCUCACACAAACUGACGAUGACUAAUGCAGAAAAUAUAAUCAAAGAACAAAACACUGAAAACAAUGGAAAUGUUUAACCGAACAGCAGCCUAAUGUUUACGUACAUACAUACAUAGGAAAAUAUAUGCCCGCAUGGUUAUGUAUUUUAAUUAUUAAGUGCAAAAGUCCAGGAAUAACAAAUACGAAUUCAGAUUGAAAACAAUUGUAAGGAGAGCGAAGCGAAAUGCGAAAAAUAUACGAAAUUAUUUAUUGACAACAAAAUCUACAAACCGAAGAACAAAAAAAUGAGGAGCAAGCCAAAUGCAAUCUAUUUACAAAAUCCUACAAAAAUAAAAAGCAAAGCCAGAAUUACAAACAAAACCAAUUAAGCUGAGCUGAUUCCACGGAAAUGAAUAUAUAUAUAUAUAUAUUAUACAUACAUAUAUAAUGUAAACCUACCCAAAAAUAAGAUAUUUUUAAGCCAAUAGUUGAAAUUGGACUAUGACAAAUAACAAGAGUAAACCAAUUGAAAUAUGGCAGUAAGAAAUAUUUUUCGAUGUAAGCUGUUUGUUAGAAAAAGAUCGAGUUUCAGUGAAUAGUGUCGAAUCAAUUCACAGAAAAUCGAUAAGAAAGCGGUUCAUGACAAGAUAACAAAAACUGAAAUAAAAAACAAAUGUUCUAUUUGAUGUUGCAAA